ensembl:lncRNA
GUUAAGAUGGCCUCACAAUCUGAGGGGCACAGGCUACGUCCUCCAGCAACACGAAGGAGCUGAAGAGACUGCUCAGCAGUUAAAAGCACUAUUUUCCCAGAGGACCUGAGUUCAGUUCCAGCAUCUACACCGGGUGGCCCACAACCCCCUGUAACUCCAGCUCCAGAGGCCCGCUUCUGGCCCCAGGGCCGCGGUACACACACCGAGGAAGGUCAAAGAGAAAAGCAAAGCAAGGGCAGAGCUUCCAACUCCGGCCGGCAGGAGGCGCUCCUGAGGAACGGCAGUGAGGCUGGGGCCAGAAGGACCGCUCAGCAGGGAAGAGCACUUGCUGGGCCAGACAGUGGUGGCGCCUUUAAUCCCAGCGACUGGGAGGCAGCAGCAGGAAGAUCUCUGUGACUCCAAAGCCAGCU